AGGAUGCAAUGCCAACUCACGAUAAGAAGAAAUACUAUGGUCCAGAGCCUUCUUAACAUCUCCUGCACUUCAAAGACUCUGCAGUUGGCAGUGAUUCUAAUGUUUCCCUAAGCAUGGUCAAGGUGGCUACAGAGAGACAAACGUCCACAAAUUCUCACAGAUGGAAGUUUUCCACUGGCCUAUUUUGGUAUAAAUAUUCAUCAAGGGCUAGAAAAUUAAACUAGAUAUGGGUCUGAGCUAGAAGCAGUUUCAACUUUCAACUUUCAACUUUCAGUCACCCUCUCAGGAGGGCCGGAUCUUCUGAGAUGUGACUGCUGUUGUUUGGAGACCAGGGUCAACUGUCUCCCCAGCCUAUGGAAAUCCCUGGUUUGUUCUCAGGGGACCUUUGGCUGGAGAGUGGCGGCUGUUGGAUUCACAGGAAGGCCCGGAGUUGGUUCUUUGGAAGUAUAUCAAGGUGUGGCUCAUCCGCAUCCUGCAGCGACUGCUUUGGAAGGUAAGUUUGAGGGGAGAUAAUCUGAGACUGGUUUAGAAUGCUUUCUCACUUUAUCUUUCUUUAGGUCUUAAGACAUCUCUUGGGUACCAUGGAGGGCAGACAUCAAGGUGUCCGUCUCCCUCUACUCCUGCAUCUCUUGCCUUUGCUGGCUCUGGUUUUGGCUCAUCAAUGUAAAGGCCUAUGAGUCAACAGUGCAGCCACAUGGGGCCCCGUGGAUGGAAGAGAAGGGAGUGGUCUUCUUUCUCUCUUCCACAUCUGUAUCAACCACCCACCCCCAUGUUCUAUUCUCCUUCUCCUCCUCCUCUCAGCAAUGACUGUGUCUGUCCAGAGAGGGGGCAAAGCUGCUGUUCCCUUACCCCAUUCAUCUGCGUCUUUCUCUUACUUCCUGCUUGCUUACUCUGCUCCACCCACCACACUGCCAAGCCCUUCCUGUGUGCUUCAAUAACAGGGAGCGCACCGAGGGGAAUGAGGCCAGGCAGAGGAUUUCAGCGCAAACAGGAUAUUGUGGUGCAGGAAAUAAAGCAGGCAAGACAACAAUGGCAGAUGUCCCUGGACCACUCUGAAGGUAUCACAUGUGCUCAGGAGGAAAGCAGAUGGGUGUUAAGUGUUCAGAAGACAAAGGGCCUGUUCUGAAUUGCAGGCCUCGUGGAAGAUGGGUGUAUGGAGGGAGAAGAAGGCCCUCUCUGCAAGCAGGGGUGUGUGCAAGAAAGUUCUGAUCAUUCAGAGGAGGCUGGGUACUGUCAGUACAUGACUGAAGAGGGACCAUCAGAGAAAUGGUAACUCUGGACUAAUAGAAGGGAGCUUUAAAAGCUCCAGCAGCCGUUCCUUGAGACAGACUUCUUUAAUGUAGCAUCCACUAGGCUGCUACAAGAGCGUAGCCUUCAGCCCCACUGUCCCCUGAUCAUCUGUUCACAGAUCCAUCUCUUCACACCUUUAGCAGAACUUCAAAGUAAAAUUUGUACAGCACUUCCCCACGUUGUUGCCUGGGUGUGUGAUGAAUGUGCACGCGGGUGUCCGUGUGUUUGCCACGGUGUGCAUGUGGAUGUCAGGGGGCAGCCUUGUGUAUUGAUCUUCACCUUUCACUUUCUUUGAGACAGAGCCUCCUGCUGGUCACUGCCUCAUUAGCUAGACUAGUAACAUCCACCUUCCAGAAGGAUCACAGUGAUUGCAAAUGUAAAAUAUUCAAAAAUCUCAAGUAUUCACUUGAUUACUUUAUAUGUGUAUUCCCUAAAACCACUAUCAGAUAAAAUACAGAAACCCUGCAUUCCAUAAAGUUCCCAAGUGCUCCUUUCUUGGCAAUAACCAGUUUUUAGAAAAAUAGCUAUCUUCUAUCUUUGUAGACUUCUUUCCACUCUGUUCAGAACAUUAUGCAGGAGAAAGUCUAUGGUAUCAUAUAAUUUUGCUUCUUAAUUUCUCUAUUCAAAAUGUUUAAGAUUACCCGGGUGGUUGCAUACAUUAAAUAAUAAAAAAAAAAAAAACCUACUUAGCCUCUGUUAUCUAAAUAUCCAUUCUCAUGUUGAUGAGGGUUUGAAUUGCCUACAGUCAAGGGCUGUUGUAGAUAAAAAUCAUUCCAGACACGCGUGUCUCAGUGCUUGCGGUGGAUGCCCACGGCCCUUUCUCCUGGACGUGUACAUCAGAGUAAAACUGUUAUAGGGUAGAUAGGCAUUAAACCCCAGGAGAAGGGACCAGCAGCUUCUAGUUGUAUCAUCUUAUAGUCUCCCUGGCAACAUCACGUGACUUCUAGUUGUUCCACUUCUUUCCCAGACUUGGUAAUGCCUGCUUUAAUUUCAACAUUCCACUGAGUAUCCAACACAAUCUCAUUAUGCUUUUACUUUGUAUUUCUUGAAGAAAUAAUGAUAUCAACCUCUCCCCCCCCCCUUGUCUGCACAUACAAGCUAUUUAGGCUUCUUCUUUUGUGAUAUAUCUGGUCCAGCCUUUGUUUUUAGGAACUGGAGACAUGGUUUAGUGAUUUAGAGUACUUGCUGCUAUUGUAGAGGACCCAGGCUCAGUUCCCAGCACCUACUUGGUAACUCCCCAACGAUUUGGAACAGCAGAACCAGGAGAUACGAUGCCCUCUUCUGGUCUUUGCAAGUAUCUGCUUGUGUAUGGCACAAUACUAAUGUGCCAUAAACAUGCUUAAAUAAAACUAUUUUUUAAAGUUGGCCAUUACGAAUCAGUUUGUGGAAGAAAUCUAUGUAUUCUGGAUACAACUUUUUGUCAAAAGCAUCUAUGUGCACAACACUUGGAAAGCUUUCUCUUUGUAGACUAUCUCUCAUCUAUUGGUGAUGUCUUUUAGUGAAAGCGAGGUAAUCUUGACAGACAGCUCUCUCAUUUAUUUAUACCUACUCCCUCCAGAUAAGAAGUCACAGAGGUACUAUCUUGAUCACAAUGUCACUGUUCUAAGCAUUUUAGAUGGCAAUAAACUAUGACUACUCUGCAAUUAAGAAAUAUGUUGGCCAGGGACUUAGGAAAUGGCUUAGUUGGGAUGAUAUUUACUGUGAAAGCAUGAAGGUUUGAUUCCUAGUACACACAUAAAAAAGCCUGACUUGGUGGUACGUGCUUCUCAGCACUGGGGAAGUGGAGAGAGUGCUCACUGCCCUACAUGUGCAUACACAUGUACACACACACACACACACACACACACACACACACACACACACACAAACAC
rnacentral:lncRNA from 1 species